GAACGCACAUGGCGCCCUCUGGUAUGCCUCAGGGCAUGCCUGUUCGAGCGUCACU
rnacentral:rRNA from 1 species